UACGGUUAAAGGGUUAUUUCGCAUUUUUUGCCGAUCCGCACACAUUGGAAUUUCGCUAACUCCUCCGAAGGCUUUCGUUCCACCGGCACCACAUUUGCUCAGGCCAAUCUACACCCCGUGGCCAUUAAAAGUUAUUCAAAUCAUGACGCUGCACCCCACGGUUUAGGUUCUAGGGGGCGCCAAAGAUAACCCUAAAAUCCACAUAUUUAAAAGUCUUAUAACUUUUUAUUUUUGUCCUCACUGGCCUCCAAGUUUUCUAGGAUGAUGCAAUGUCCAGCCAUCAACACAUUUGUGAAGGAAUUUUUACUCCCCAAAAGAGCGCCCCCCCAUGGCAGGAGAAAAAAGUCCAUUUUUUCUUGUCCCCUAAGGUGAAAAUACAUAUUGUUGAGAUUCACGCCUAUACGCUUUGUCAUAUUGACACAAAAUUUGACACUCACGUGCCUUGCCUGGUAUCAUUUUUUUCAGCACAACCUCACCUGUGCGAAUUUACAGUUAUUUUAUCAUGUUGACAUACUGAAUUUACACAAUGGACCCAAAUUCACACACAAAACAUAAAAUCCGAGUGGAAAAAAGUAACAUUUUUACUGUGAAAACCACAAAUAUGUGUGAUGAACUGUUUUUAAAACUUAAACUUCAAAUAAAAAUUGUAAACUUCAAAACAUAUGCAAAUUUUUAACAAAGAACAUAGUGAUUUACCUCUAUUUACAUCAAAAUGCAGGCAAUGGCCCAGGCGUUCUUUGUAAAAUUAUUUACAAAACACUGUAUAGUCUCACAAAUGUCACUUUUUAUUUAUGCCACUACAAAAAAACAUGAUGUAAAUGAUGCAUGAUGUAAAACAUGAUGUAAAAAACUUGUGUAGAUCCUCCUCUAUGUCAGUCCAUGUGUAAUUUUUCCAUAAUUCUUUGUUUUUUGCAGCAUUUUUGUUAGUGUAACCGCAGAUUGUGCUGACAGUGUCUAUGGCACAAAAAAAAAAAAAAAUUAAAAUGCCUCAACAUGAACCCCUGGUGGUCUCUGAGGGUGAAACCUGCUAACUGCUGCAGCUCUGUCAGCUUCAGUCUCCCAUGCAGAGCUCUGAGCGCAUGUGUGGCUCUGCACCCUUAGCAGCGUUGCUAACUCCUCAGUAAGGAAAGCCUGCUUCAUGUCAGAGUCUCUAAACUCCAGAAGAAGUCGAUAAAAGUCCCUUUCUUUCUAAAAAAAAAGUCGUUAGGGGGUCUGAAAAGUCAUUGAAUCUAACAACAAAGUCGCUAGGUUUGCAACUACGUGUCCCAGACUGCAUCCCUGCUGAGAGUCCCUCCCUCCCUUCUCAUGUUGCAGGAAGAACGUAAGCGCCCGCCCCUUGUCAAUCAGUCACCAUAUAAUUUUGGAUUGGUUGUUGUGGUGAAGUUUUCCACCAAUAGGAGAGAUGUUGUGGUGUGUUUUUUUUUUUCUUUUGGCAAGCCUUUUCCGCCUGUAAGACCUGUCGCUAAUGUCUGCAUGCUAUGUUUUCCUGUCUCAUACAGCGCGAUCGAGCGCCGAACGUGAUCAAAAUAAGCAGAAAAAAAGUAUCGCGGACAUAAUUUAUCAUAACUCUGGUUUUAUUUGGCCUAUCAACACAAUUUAAAAACUGGUAUAUAGGUUGAGGUCCUCACUUUUGAGAUAAGUUGAAACGGAGAGUCAACGAGGCUCCGUCUUGCAGCUACAUCCGGUUAAAUAUGUCAUGUGACUUGAACGCACACACAGACACACACACACGCACACACACACACACACACACACACACACACACACACACACACACACACACACACUCAGAGUCUGUUUUUUAGCACCAGCAAAAACAUGCUAUUUACAUAUUUGACAAGAAUGCAGAGGCUCCUUUUGCCCCUGAAAAAAAUCAAAUUUCAAACACAACUUGACUGGUCAUUUCUCCAAAAGACAACCAUGAAGCUCCAUCCAAACCUGAAGCAGGCAGUUGGUGCAUGUGUACAGUAACCUGAGGGGAGUGAGGUGAGUGCUUCUGAGGAGAACAUGAGCAGUGAAGAUUCACCUUGGAGCUAGAACAGAGACAUGCACAUGAUUAUACAGGGGCAGGGGCUCAAGUUUUUUCCAGUCGUUUAUACAAUAUGGAAAUUAAUGUGAAAUUAAAACACAAAGUAUUAAUAGAAAGGUAAUGACUGUCCUGUGUAGGUGACAGUGAUAUCCAAUAGGCUAGGCACUCACGAGGCUGGCUGUGGCAAGUGUAAGUGAAAGCAACACGCACUGGCAGGAAGAACAGCAAACGCCGAUGAAGGAAAAGGGUCUUUGCAGUGAUGGGCGUUACCAGAGAGGGCGAUGGCCAGAGGACACAAAUGGGACGGGGAGGCAGCACGUUGGGGGGGGGGGACGCGACACGGCUCGGGCCCGCCAGUGCCCCAACGGGGUCCUAGUCUUUGUUUCUUUCUUAGGGCCCGAGCGUAGCUGCUAAGCAGCUGCGAGAGCCCUCUUGUUCCUGAUGGAUUCUUCUUUUUAGGGCCCGAGCCAGCUGCAGAGCAGCCGGGCGUCGGCCCUAUUAUUCCCCAAGUGGUUUUUCUUUGUUUCUUUAGGGCCCGAGCGUAGCUGCUAAGCAGCUGCGAGAGCCCUCUUGUUCCUGAUGGAUUCUUCUUUUGUUAUUAUUAGGGCCCGAGCGUAGCUGCUAAGCAGCUGCGAGAGCCCUCUUGUUCCUGAUGGAUUCUUCUUUCGUUAUUUUUCCUCCGCUUUUAACUGGAAAAUGGCCCACUUCCCACUGGCGAAAACUCAGAAAAUUUGGCAGGAUGACCGGGCCUGGUGAAAAAUUUGAUAUUCUGAAGUCGUCCAAACAAAAAAAUGAAAAAUGGCUCCAUAGCGCCCCCUAUGGUGAAAACUCACCUGAUGCCUGUACGCUUUGUCAAAAUGACACAAAAUUUGACACACAUGUGUAUCUCAAUAAGAUCUACGAAAAAGUCAGUGCGGGCGUAUCUGUCAAAUGUACGGUUAAAGGGCUAUUUCGCUUUUUUUGCCGAUCCGCACACAUUGGAAUUUCGCUAACUCCUCCAAAGGCUUUCGUUCCACCGGCACCAAAUUUGCUCAGGCCAAUCUACACCCCAUGGCCAUUAAAAGUUAUUCAAAUCAUGACGCUGCACCCCACGGUUUAGGUUCUAGGGGGCGCCAAAGAUAACCCUAAAAUCCACAUAUUUCAAAGUCUUAUAACUUUUUAUUUUUGUCCUCACUGGCCUCCAAGUUUUCUAGGAUGAUGCAAUGUCCAGCCAUCAACACAUUUGUGAAGGAGUUUUUUCUCGUUAAAAGAGCGUCCCCCCAUGGCAGGAGAAUAAAGUCAAGUUUUUCCUGUUCAUCAUUCAAUGGCUCAAACGCACUGCUCUCUCGGCAAAAGCGAAAGGAGGAGCAACUUGCCAUUUGGAUAUAUCUUAGCUGUGUUUGUGCCCUCACUCAUGGUCCAGACUUUUUUCAAAUAGGACAUGGAGUUUUUCUGCAGCGAGCGUUUUGGUAGAAACUGCGCCUCCCGUUCAUUAUAAUGGUAAAUGACCACAAACAAGUGCGCACACCAUCUUUGGACCUUGAGUGUGACGCGAUCGGGUGGGGGAGGCGGUCGCGCUGGGGGCGGCGUGACACGGCUCGGGCCCGCCAGUGCCCCAACGGGGCCCUAGUUAUUAUUUUUCCUCCCCUUUGAACUGGAAAAUGGCCCACUUCCCACCCGCGAAAACUCAUGAAAUUUGGCAGGACGACCGGGCCUGGUGAAAAAUUUGAUAUUCCGAAGUCGCCCAAACAAGAAAAUGCAAAAUGGCUCCAUAGCGCCCCCUAAGGUGAAAAUUCACACUAUUGACUGUCACGCCUGUACGCUUUGUCAAAAUGACACAAAAAUUGACACACACAUGUAUCUCAGUAAGAUCUACAAAAAAGUCAGUGCGGGCGUAUCUGUCAAAUGUACGGUUAAAGGGUUAUUUCGCAUUUUUUGCCGAUCCGCACACAUUGGAAUUUCGCUAACUCCUCCGAAGGCUUUCGUUCCACCAGCACCACAUUUGCUCAGGCCAAUCUACACCCCAUGGCCAUUAAAAGUUAUUCAAAUCAUGACGCUGCACCCCAAGGUUUAGGUUCUAGGGGGCGCCAAAGAUAACCCUAAGAUCCACAUAUUUAAAAGUCUUAUAACUUUUUAUUUUUGCCCUCACUGGCCUCCAAGUUUUCUAGGAUGAUG
rnacentral:lncRNA from 1 species